GUGCUUGCUUUGGCAGCACACAUACUAAAGUUGGAACCAUACAGAGAAGAUUAGCAUGGGCCCUGUGCAAGGAUGACACACAAAUUCAUUAAGCAUUUCAUAUUUUU